rnacentral:rRNA from 1 species
GGCGGACGGGUGCGUAACACGUAGGGUAUUUACCUUCCGGCGGGGGACAACAGUCCGAAAGGAUGGCUGAAUACCGCGUACGUCGGCGAGAUCUCCGGAUCACGUCGGGAAAGAUGGCCUCUCCAUGGAAGCUGUCACCGGAAGAUGAGCCUGCGGCCCAUCAGCUUGUUGGCGAGGUAACGGCUCACCAAGGCGAAGACGGGUAGCUGGUCUGAGAGGAUGAGUCAGCCACACUGGGACUGCGACACGGCCAGACUCCUACGGGAGGCAGCAGUGGGGAAUAUUGGGCAAUGGGCGAAAGCCUGACCCAGCCACGCCGCGUGAGUGAUGAAGGCCUUCGGGUCGUAAAGCUCUGUGGGGAGGGACGAACAAGUCUGGCGUAAACAGCGCCGGGCCCUGACGGUACCUCCUUAGCAAGCACCGGUAACCAUGUGCCAGCCGCCGCGG